CAAAAUAUAGCUUAAUUAAAGCAUCUCGCUUACACCGAGAAGUUACCCGCGAAAUUCGGAUUAUUUUGA
rnacentral:tRNA from 2 species